CUUGAUCAACCAGGGAAGAAGAAUUUGCCAAGAAAAGAAACUAGCAGCCUGGUCUCUGCAGCACUCGAAUAGGGAAACUGCUAUGUGAUCAGUAUCAUUUCUGGGCAGCUUCACGUCCUCCUUCUUCCUGGCAGCCUGAGGCAACUGAAGCCAUAGCAGACCCUGCCCGGGAAGGUGUAGAGAGGACGGUGCUGAUUCUGCCGCCGCCAGUAACGGUGAUGAUGGAGGUGCCGAUGACGUCACUCCCUCAACCCCAGAUAUCCAUGGAUGGGGGAGCCCCUCCCUUUGCAGCCUUAGAAACCAACACAUCAUUAAACUGACCAUCUCACUGGCUUGCAGAUCCACCUGGGAGAUCUCAGGACAGAGUCUCCUGGAGAAUGAGAGUUCGCGGUCUCUCCAGGCUGGAAGAAGGAGCAGAUGUGGGAAUAGGAACCAGGAUCACAGGCAACAGGUCAGUUACAUGGAUUUUCCGUGUUAGGACAGGACCCAGGCUGGCUGAAUCCGUUAGAUAACAAGAGCGUGUU